CUUUGUAUGUAAUCACAUCAAUUUCAUUAAUAUGUAACCACAAACCGUACCCAAAAGAAUCGGGAAACCCUAUCUCCACACAAACAAUACCCAAUUCAGAUCAUCGUCGGGUCUUCAUUUGCAUCCGUAUACUCUUUCCCCAAUUCAAACCCUAACCCUAACCCUGCUUCAUCUUCCCGGAUCUUCCAAUCGGACUCUGCCAUAACAAACCCGCUGCAUAAAAGGUAUACUUCUCCAGGCCUGUGAGCUCAAUGUAUAAACCUCAACUUGCCAAGGACUAUAAAUUAUAGUAUCCAAGUCUGGCAUACUAUAAGUGGAGUUAAUCUUUACAAGCUUAGGAUCACUAGUCUGAGGACAAACCCCAAAACCAAUAAUCAUAACAGAGUUCCGAUGUAAAUCAUAAGGCAAAUCAAUAGCCACCGAUUUUCUAAUUGAAGGGUUCCAAAGAACAGCCGUCUUGAUGAUUCUUCCAGGUUCAUGUGGAUCUCCAUGAGUAGUGCAUACACAGAACAAGAGCCUUGAGAGCUACCUAGUAAUCUGGGUCCGCUGCCUGCGGGAUCAGGCAGGGAACACUUUUGUUUGGGGAAAGUUUCAUCGUCCACAAUUGAAACGUAUUUUUGUUCAACACUUUCUACCGGACUGUAACUUACUAACAGAUGGUGCUGGUGAGUGUGGUUGACGCUGUAAUCUACAACAAACUGAGAACUAUCGAUCAAAGAUUUCCAUGCUUUUGAAACGGUUCUAAACCGCAGAAGUGAUUUGGUUGGAAGCCUUUUCAUGAUCUCUUCUAGGAUUGCAAAAGUGAAUACAUACCCUGGACGCUCUUUCUCCCCUUCUACGUUGGAAGAAUCUCAUGGACGCUUCUCUCUUUCACGGACGCACCAACUCCCUCUAUUUCCAUAUGUGGUCUUCUUUGGAGUAAAAUUUAUUCCCUCUCUUCUACCCAUCAAGUGGAUUUAUUCACCCAAUCAUUUUAUAAUUUCUAUAAUAACCAUGCAAUUUUAUGAGUGUCUGAUAUACAUACCGCGAAUGAAAUUAGGAAUCAAUUAAUCUUUGCCG